GACGAACGCUGGCGGCGUGCCUAACACAUGCAAGUCGAACGAAGAAUGUUUUUCGGAAUAUUCUUAGUGGCGGACGGGUGAGUAACGCGUGAACAAUCUGCCCCGUACAAAGGGAUAGCCUCGGGAAACCGGGAUUAAAACCAUAUAACACUUAACUGCCGCAUGGUAGUGAAGUCAAAUCGAGUAAGAGGUAUGGGAUGAGUUCGCGUCUGAUUAGCUAGUUGGUGAGGUAAGGGCUCACCAAGGCGACGAUCAGUAGCCGGCCUGAGAGGGUGAACGGCCACACUGGAACUGAGACACGGUCCAGACUCCUACGGGAGGCAGCAGUGGGGAAUAUUGCACAAUGGAGGGAACUCUGAUGCAGCGACGCCGCGUGAGUGAAGAAGGUCUUCGGAUCGUAAAACUCUGUCCUUGGUGAAGAAAGGACGGUAGCCAAGGAGGAAGCCCCGGCUAACUACGUGCCAGCAGCCGCGGUAACAUACUCGUA
rnacentral:rRNA from 1 species